CCCCCCCAGAUUUGGCUUCCAGUGGUUUCUUUUUGUUUCUAAGACAGUAUAUAAUCAAAACUCAGAAAUGAGAUUCAGUGACAUUUUGAAAAUUCAACAAUAAAGAGGCAUUACAAGAGAUUACAAAACACUGGUUCCAGAAGUGCUUCCAGCAAUGGCAGAAUGACAUAACAAUGUGCAUUACCUCCCAAGAGAACUACCUUGAAGGAGACACCAUAAAACAGCCAGCAACUCUGACUUAUUUUUCUUAUUAGUCCCAGAACUUCUUGAUAGCACAACAUUUAAGUGUGCCAAGAACAUUCAAAGGGAAAACUGCCCCAGAAAUAAUUUCUGUAGCCAUCAGAGACUUUAACGCAGAAGAUAUGACAACAUGGAGCACAGCAAGAGAUAUUGGAAUCAACAAAAUAUUGCAGCAUAGCCUCUGAUGAGGAUGUAAGAUACCAAGUGUUUAAUGUUGAAGAAAACUUGGAGGUUAUUUUAAGAAGGCAUUGGACAUCUACUAUGGCUUGUCUACAAGGGAGGUGUAAAUAUCUGUUUGAGUAUGCAAUUGCUCUUAAUAGAAAGAUCCCCAAAGGUUGGAGUGAUGUGUAAAUGACAAGUGAAAAAUGGUUUACAAAAUAAUUGAGAAAGUACAGAAGCCUCUCUCUGUGCAAACCUGACGCAUCAAGCUUCGGUAGAACAUCUGAUUUUAAUAAGGCUACUGUCGAUGCUUUUUCAAAGUGCUGCCUGAUCAUCUACAGAAUAAGCGACAUCUAGAACAUUGACAAAACAGGUAUAACAACUGUUCAGAAAUCCGGUAAAGGUGCUGUGCACGAGUAUCAAGCAGACAGAGAUAUGACACUUGUGGAUGUGCAGUGAUGCUUUGUGGAAACUGCUAAGAACCAACAUAAGGUACAGAAUUAAAGCCAAACAAUGUCAUGUGAGGCCACAAAUGAGGUGGAUGGACCAUGUGGAGGGUGAGAAAGAUGAAAAAAUUAAGAACCAAACAAGAGAUAAAGAUUGAAAAAUUAGGAGACAAAUAAAUGAGGAAAAUUUGUGGGAAGAGAUGAAAAUAACUCUGCAAAGUGACAACCAAGAAUGAAGAGAAUUUCUGUAGACCUACCAGUUCU